rnacentral:rRNA from 1 species
UACGUAGGGUGCAAGCGUUAAUCGGAAUUACUGGGCGUAAAGCGUGCGCAGGCGGUUCUAUAAGACAGAUGUGAAAUCCCCGGGCUCAACCUGGGAACUGCAUUUGUGACUGUAGAGCUGGAGUACGGCAGAGGGGGAUGGAAUUCCGCGUGUAGCAGUGAAAUGCGUAGAUAUGCGGAGGAACACCGAUGGCGAAGGCAGCCCCCUGGGCCAACACUGACGCUCAGGCACGAAAGCGUGGGAGCAAACAGG